rnacentral:rRNA from 1 species
UACGUAGGUCCCGAGCGUUGUCCGGAUUUAUUGGGCGUAAAGCGAGCGCAGGUGGUUUAUUAAGUCUGGUGUAAAAGGCAGUGGCUCAACCAUUGUAUGCAUUGGAAACUGGUAGACUUGAGUGCAGGAGAGGAGAGUGGAAUUCCAUGUGUAGCGGUGAAAUGCGUAGAUAUAUGGAGGAACACCGGUGACGAAAGCGGCUCUCUGGCCUGUAACUGACACUGAGGCUCGAAAGCGUGGGUAGCAAACAGG